CAUUCAAAGUAAUAGCUUGUCUGCAAUUUCUUUGCAAAUCCUUAGAAAAAAGAACACCACAACUUUGGCAUUUGGUCUGAUUUUCUUUUUCCUUUCCACAUUUUGAACAUUCACGGUGUUCAUAAACUUUAAGUUCCAAAAGAACAAAAGAAAUAAAAGAUUUUGGCAUUUUACUGCAUCAUUAAGGAAUCCCCUCAAAGUCUCAAAAUUAAGUCCCUCUCUUCCCCAUCAUUACCAUCAUGGCUACCAUGAGAGCCUAAAUAAGUAAUGUUAGUCGGGAUUUAAUAUCAAAAUGCUGGAAGAAAUUUUCAAGACUAUCUAGUCUAGCAGUCAGCUAUAUAUAAAAUAAUUCUGUCUCCAAGAAUCUGAGGAUAUGAUCAAGCUGAGUACUGACUGGCUCCAUUACUUUAGUAUCUAUAAUAAAGGUAAAGAGGGCAAAUCUAAAUGAAAAGAAUUCCAUGGAAAAGUGCUGUUUCCUCUCAUAAAAUUGAUACUAAAACAGAAAAAACACAUUCCUACUAUUAAAAUCCCCAAUAUUAAAAUAUGAACAGAAGUAUGUUCUGAGCUAUUACCAUAUGCCUUCCAUCAGCUAAGAAACAUUUAUCUUGGAACUCUGUGAGAAUUACGAACAAAAUGCAGAUACACUAUGCUGAAUAAGAUAAAAAAAAUUUUCAUGAUAAAAACUAGAGAUUAACAUUUUAUUAACCUAACUCUCUAAAAACUAGAAUCUCAAUACUGCUCUGUUUUAGUAGAGAAUACUGUAAAUAAAUUUUCAUAAAAAUUUUAUGUUAAGUGUAGUUUCUUUUGGAAAACAAAAACUGACUAAACCUGGACAUGGUGGCUCAGGUCUGUAAGCCCAACACAUUGGGAGGCUGACGCAGUAGGACUCUUUAGGGCCAAGAGUUCAAGACCAGCCUGGGCAACAUAGCGACAUCCAAUCUCUCCAAACAAAAAAAAUUGAAGAGAAAAAAAAAACUGAUUAAAAUCUCAUUCCCUGCUUUGGUCAGUAGAAGUGGAAGGCGUUUUACAAAAUUAAAUAAUUCCAAAUUACAUAUCACAUACUAUCUGCAAGACUCUACCCAUAAAUAACCAACUGCACUUAAUAAGUCUGUCUUUGAGACUAUGUCAUUUUUACUAAAUAUCCUAAAGAUGUUAAUCCCAUUAAAUUCACAGAUCUUGUUUUAUUUAUUUAUUUAUUUAUUUAUUUUGAGAAGGAGAUUCACUCUUGUUGCCCAGGCUGGAGUGCAAUGGCGCAAUCUUGGCUCACUGCAACCUCUGCCUCCAGGGUUCAACAGAUUCUCCCGCCUCGGCCUCCCAAGUAGCUGGGACUACAGGUGCCCACCACCAUGCUCAGCUAAUUUUUGUUUUUUUAGUAGAGACGGGAUUUCACCAUAUUGGCCAGACUGGUUUCAAACUCCUGACCUCAGGUGAUCCACCACCUGCCUCGGCCUGCCAAAGUGCUGGGAUUACAGGCAUGAGCCACUGUGCCCGGCCCACAGAUCUUGUUUUCUUACAAGUGGUACAUAGUGUAGAAUUUCAGAGACUAUACAUGGAAAGAAAAAACCACUAACCUUGUCUAGGAAUUAAAGUUUACAUAGAGGCUGGCUACAAUUCUUUAUCUCCACUAAGAAGAAAGUAAGAACAAUUGGCAUAGGAAUAGAGUAAAAGAAGGAAGACUUCUAUUAAAAAACAAUUAUUGCUGUGUUUAAUACCUAGGUGAUGUGAUGAUCUGUGCAGCAACCACCACGGCACACGUUUACCUAUGUAACAAACCUGCACAUCCUGUACAUGUACCCCUGAACUUUAAAAACAAACAAACAGAGGUUUUCAGUGGGCAUGUCCAGUGGACAAAAGAUGUUGUAUUUAGGGAGGAGCUUUCCUCCUCCUUUACCUAGGCUAAGCAGUAGGUGAUAUCAGCAUGGCCUGAGCCAAACUUAGGUUGGCAUGGCAGGACAUUAUCACAUAAAGAAAAACUAAGCUAACAGGUAAAUACACCAGGGGUGAUGGGAGUCAAGUUACUUACCUCUGGAGAAGGGAGUUACAAACAUGCAACGUGGGAAAAAUUAAAUAAACUCAGUGUUGGACUGGAAUUAGAGUUAUCAGUGUGAACUUAUGGAUUCUAAUAUAGAUUAAAUAUUAAUACACACACAUGUAUUUCUUAGCUUUGUCCACUGAGAAGGCCGAGAAACAAUAAUACCCAUGUGAAUGAACAUAACUAGUGCCCAAAUAUGUUCCCUCCACUUAAAGGAGAAGAUAUUUCCUUCUCCUUGUAUGCAUGGCUCCUCAGAGAAAUGAAUGACUCUAGGGCUGAGACAGAAAUACAAAAUAAUGGCCAGGCGCGGUGGCUCACGCCUGUAAUCCCAGCACUUUGGAAGGCUGAGGUGGGUGGACCACGUGAGGUCAGGAGUUCAAGACCAGCCUGGCCAACAUGGUGAAACGCCAUCUCUACUAAAAUACAAAAAUAAGCCGGGUAUGGUGGCAGAUGCCUGUAGUCCCAGAUACUCAGGAGGCUGAGACAGAAGAACUGCUUGAACCGGGAGGUGGAGGCUACAGUGAGCCGAGAUCGCUCCACUCAACUCCAGCCUGGGUGACAGAGCAAGACUCCAUCUCGGGGAAAAAAAAAAAGAAAUACAAGAUAAGUUAAGACCAUCUUGUUAUACUAAAAAGCAGAGAAGUGAAUGUCAUGAAUGUCUUCAAAGAAUGAUAGGGACAUGUCAGAAAAAACAGAGGCCAGCUUGAAGGGACUCACAUGGAAUCUGGGACAAUUGAAGCAUCAAGCAGGAUCUCCACAUAUGGACCACUUCAUCAAGUGUAUCAAUAUCCUCUUCACUUUAUUUUGUUCUACUAAGAAACAAGAGACACUGCAAUCAAUCCUACUCCUAAGAUUCAAAGCAAAGAAUCCACAUACUGGGACCAUGCUACCUCUUGGCCCUAUAGACAAAUUCAGAAGAAAAGGUACAGG
rnacentral:lncRNA from 1 species